rnacentral:rRNA from 1 species
UACAGAGGGCCCAAGCGUUACUGAGAAUCACUGGGUUUAAAGGGUGCGUAGGUGGUCCGUUAAGUCAGUUGUGAAAUCCCCGGGCUCAACCCGGGAACUGCUUCUGAUACUGGCGGACUUGAGGCCAGUAGGGGUCACUAGAACUGACGGUGGAGCGGUGAAAUGCGUAGAUAUCGUCAGGAAUGCCGGUGGUGAAGACGGGUGACUGGGCUGGUUCUGACACUGAGGCACGAAAGCGUGGGGAGCGAACGGG